UACGGGGGGAGCAAGCGUUGUUCGGAUUUACUGGGCGUAAAGGGCGCGUAGGCGGCGCAACAAGUCACUUGUGAAAUCUCCGGGCUUAACCCGGAGCGGUCAAGUGAUACUGUCGUGCUAGAGUGCGGAAGGGGCAACUGGAAUUCUCGGUGUAGCGGUGAAAUGCGUAGAUAUCGAGAGGAACACCUGCGGCGAAGGCGGGUUUGCUGGGACGGUACUGACGCUGAGACGCGAAAGCGUGGGGAGCAAAC
rnacentral:rRNA from 1 species